GAAAUGUGAUAAGUAAUGUGAAUUGCAGAAUUCAGUGAAUCAUCGAAUCUUUGAACGCACCUUGCGCUCCUUGGUAUUCCUUGGAGCAUGCCUGUUUGAGUAUCAUGAAAUCUUCAAAGUAAAUCUUUUGUUAACUCAAUUGGUUUCUACUUUGGUAUUGGAGGUCUUUGCAGCUUCACACCUGCUCCUCUUUGUUCAUUAGCUGGAUCUCAGUGUUAUGCUUGGUUCCACUCGGCGUGAUAAGUUAUCUAUCGCUGAGGACACUGUAAAAGGUGGCCAAGGUAAAUGCAGAUGAACCGCUUCUAAUAGUCCACUGACUUGGACAAUACUUUUAUGAUCUGAUCUCAAAUCAGGUAGGACUACCCGCUGAACUUAAGC
rnacentral:misc_RNA from 1 species